GAGAAAAACAUUUAACAGUAAAUACUUAAUAUACAAUAUACAAAAUUCCAUCAUUCCAUUAUGCUUUGGUGUAAAGAGGAUGUGUCAUGGAGGAGAUGUAUAUGGAAAGUCAUGUUACAUGAGCUAUUAGCACUUGCACUGUUACCAUGGAUAUACAGACAACAGUCAUCAAAUUACUAAAUAUGACGAUUGGGUGGCAAGAUGUAAAGUUAUGAGAAAGACAGUUUUUCUAUGAUUUCUAAGCACACUGAUGGAUAUUUCUCCUUGAUGGACAUUUCUAUCACUGGAAAGAGCAUGUUGAGGUGAUUCCACCAGGGGGUGCAUUACAAUUUAACCAGCCCAGUAUCCAUGGGAAUUACAUCCAAUUUACAUUUUACAUCAGACUUUACGUCCAAUGGCAACAUUCAGUGUUGUUGUGCAGUUGUGUUUAUGUAGUGGAAAGUAAAUGAGGACGAGAGGGGUGGGGAAGGGAUCAAAGUCAUCCUAUAAAGUCAUAUCUAUCUAUCUAUCUAUCUAUCUAUCUAUCUAUCUAUCUAUCUAUCUAUCUAUCUAUCUAUCUAUCUAUCUAUCUAUCUAUCUAUCUAUCUAUCUAUCUAUCUAUCUAUCUAUCUACUUGCCUGGUACUUGCCUAACCCUAACUACACCUACAUACUGUCGUUGCCAGGCACAGAUAUUUUAGAAAGCCACUGAACUUAAUCUGCAAUUGUGCAGACUUGUCCAAUAUCAAUGCUGAGCGAACCUGAAGAAGUUACCAGAGAAACGUGUUGUUCGUUGCUAAUUAAGUCACAGUAAAGUGCAGACAGUCAUUUGACCUUCAUCUGAGAAUUGCCACCUUAACGCAAUAAUGAGACUCACUCCCAUGAUCCUUGAAGCAAUGAUGUCAGGAGCAAUAGCUCUCAGGGACACCUGAGGCAAAUUAGUCCCAGGUAAGGGGUCAGACUAAGAGAGAGUCUAAAACUGUUUUGGAAUGGUGACUUCUGAAAGAAGCUAGGCUGAGGAGAAAGAGGAGCUCGCUGGUGAGGCCUACGCCUAUGGGACCAGGUUAGGUUCAGCCAGAAGGGAUGACAUGGGGCCGGCACCUUGUGGGCCUACCACUUGAAAGGCUGGACAUAACCGAUUACAUGCCAGUUAUGCAAUUUGUGGACUUCUGCGCAAAACAAACACCAUGUUGGAGCAUAAGGUGGUUCAUAAGUGUACCUAGUAUAGAACACCAUAGGUGUCAAUGAUUUUCUUUGUAGUAAUUUCAUCAGAUCAGAUCAGCUGUAAGUUUUGGGGUGAAGGACGGUGUCAAGCUGAAGAAGGAGUCUCUAGUGAGUGAGAGCACAGCUUCUCCUUACAGCAAAAAUGUGUCUCAAUUUUCAAAUACUCAAAUGUUCAGGGAUGGAAACCGACUUUAGAUGUUCAGAGGCUAGUGGUGUUAGUUUCUGUUUUAGUUUUAAUUCAAUUCAAUUCAAUUCAAUUUUAUUUAUAUAGCGCCAAUUCAUGACAGAAGUUAUCUCAUUGCGCUUUUCCUAUAGAGCAGGUCUAGACCGUACUCUUUAUAAUAUUAAUUACAGAGACUGGCAGAUUUAUUGCACUCUGGCUUUCAGGGGAGGUACAGUACAAAUAAGCAUUUAAUUAAAGUUCAAAGGUAAGCAUAUUCCAUGGUCAGUUUUGGAGGAGAUACAUCUGUCAUAAAAACAAUCAGAACUAUGGACAGCUUCAGCAGAGAGACAGAGACUCUUUAUUAGGCUACCGUCACCUCUAAUACAAAAUAUCACAAAGAGAAAUAAAAAACUUACACUCACCACUUACUGAGAAGUUUAGGCCUGUUUCUACAUAACCAAUUUGUCACUGCUUGAAAAAAUUGCUAUGGAAAGCUGUUUCCUACAUGCAUUCUAUUCCAAAAUCAUGUUUGUGUGGCUGACAUAAAGGACUAUCCUGCUUCACAAAGGUGUGAGAUCGGGAAUGGUCUUCACUGCAUGCUGAUGGACAGAGAAAUACUCACGGCAGAAAUAAUGAGAGAGAGGCUGCUGAACUGAAUGUGCUGCUUUGGAGGUGCGAUCCAGUGGCCAACACUGCACAACUGCCACUUCUCAUGUAAACAACUGAGUGCAACACAAUGAAUGCCUUUGAGGAGAGACUGUCUGUAAAUGCGGGCCAUCAUCAGCCAGCUUUUCACCCUGUCUUCAAGUCUGUUUCAGAACAACUACAAACACUUUUAAAUUCUAACGCGUUCGGACGACAGAUCAUUCUAACUUGUUGAUCGAGCAUAACCCGACCCUUAAAUUCUCUUCAUCCCUCUUAAUCAUUCUCACACUUAGCGGUUUUUUGUUUCCUUUCAAUUUGGUUCUGAAGCAUUGCUGAGAGAGAGAGUUGCUGUCUUGAUUGGCAUUUGAUAAGAACCAUGUUUUGGCAAUACACAUCAGGCCAUCAGUCACACAUCUCUGCUAAUACCUCAUAUGCAGUCUCUAGGUUUAGUCAUAAACCAGAAAAAGAGUUGUCUCACUAGCAGUCAAAACGUUUGUGUUCUUGGUCUGGAAUUGGAUUCCAUCAGCAGCUAAGAGCAGUUAUUACUAUCCCAUUCAGUUAAACUCUAUCGCUAUUUCAGUUGAAUCGCAUUGUUCUUCUCUGUCACUGCCAACACCUGCUGGGAUUUAUGGCCUUUAUGAUACCAGCAGUGCUUCUCAGCAUGCUGAUGAAAGUUUCAGAACUGGUUUCAUACCAGAUUAAAUUAAAUAUGACAACCUUUUGUCGCCUCUAACCUUCUUUGAUAUCACUCAUUUUAAAUGGCAGUAUAGCCAAUCUCACAUCACACCUGCUGUCAUUCACCUGUAUUGUUGCAUAUUUUGAAUGAUGAUGUUGUGAUCAUAAAAUAAUGAUUUUAUCUGCAGCUCAGCAGCUUGGUAAUGACUGCUGGUCAACGUAGCAUUUAUGAGUGGCGAUCAAGUUUCAAACUUUUUUGUGUUGUCUGACAACAGAAACAGUCAAAAUACGUAAAUGAGAUCAACGCACUGAAUUUGGCUGCAUUAAAACACUGAGAUGGUUAUCACAGAGAGCCUCUCUGUGAUCACACCCUCUCUCUCUCUCUCUCUCUCUCUCUCUCUCUCUCUCUCUCUCUCUCUCUCGCUCUCACUAGUUUUGCUAUGUAUGUGUGAAGAUAAAGUCAACUGCCAGAAAAUAAAUGCAUUAAUAUACGUUUACAAAUUUUUCAGAGAUAUGAACUGCUCCAGCAAAAAUAGACUCAGAGCAUAAAGAUAGCGGAGCGGGGAAAUGAGCAGAGUGUGAGACGCUUCAGACGCAACUGACAUUUGACUGGAAAAUACCCAGCUCUCAUGCUCUUAUUUUACGCAAAGUGCAGGAGGGAAGGAGCAGUCGAUUUUAGUGGGGAGAAAGCGGGGCCCAGCAGCUGUCCUUUUCUCCGUGAAGAAAACGGUAAAUCCAUGUUUCUUCCUUCUGCAGGCAAAGAAUGUUGUGUGGAGUCAACAAUCGGGUUCCAAAGAGUGUUUCAGCAAAGACAAAGCAGUCUGUUGCUCAUCCAGCGAAUUGAGACUGUACUAGGAAAAUAAAAGUUCAACACUGAGUGUCUCCUGCAGCAACCGCGGUCACAAUGGAAAGCAGCAUUCCUUCUCGAGGUCCUGACUUCUUGGAGGCGAUGACGUCAUAGCUGUGUGCCGGGAUUUCAUGUGCUGUAUUGAACGUCUCGUCCAAUAAGAAUCCAGUGUUUAGAUUCAACUGAGAUCUCAAGUUGGCUUUGACCGGGAUCUUGCAUCAAUCUUACACCAAAGUGUGAAUUAACGGCUGGUGGAGACCAGGCGCCAUUUCACUGUCUGGCCUUUGUUUCCCAUUCAGGCCUUGGGUCAAGACUUUGCCUUUCCCAGCUAGGCCGCUGUCUUUUGUUCUCUGUAUAACUGAAAAUGACUUAAUGAUGUCACGAAUAUGAAAAUUAGCACAUGGCGUAAUCCAGUGACAUCUAGUGGCUUUAACUACUUUCCAUUGAAAAUAGUUGGCAACACUGAAGUCAAUGCUGUUCUUAGACAUAGACUAUAACUGCUGUACAUAUUUCUUUCAAUUAAUAAGUUCUAUAAUUUCCUUACAUAUUAUUUCUGUCGUUUUAACAUGUUUUUUGUUAUGUUUGUUUAAAUUAAUUCAUGCAUAUUGAGUGCUUAUGUUAAGUAGGAACUAAAGUACAUAUGCGUUACACACGGACAUUUUUGGAAGAUGCAACAGGAAAAUCACGGACUUUUGGUGAGAAGUUAAUAUCUUUGCAUGAGAAUUUAAAGUUGUAAGGAAGUUGCAAAGAAGAAAGAUGUUUUUUGUAUUUUGAUCGGGGUAUUUCAAGAACUCAUUCCCUCUUGGUUAUAUGCAGCCAGCGAGUUUGACGGUGGAUUUCAUUGACGGUGAACGUGAUAGCGGAGAAAAGAAUGAGAAAGGCAAUAAAUCCAUCAGUAUCCAGAA